rnacentral:rRNA from 1 species
UACGUAGGCGGUUUCAUAAGUCAGAUGUAAAAGCGUGGGGCUCAACCCCAUAAAGCAUUUGAAACUGUGAAACUUGAGUAGUGGAGAGGAAAGUGGAAUUCCUAGUGUAGCGGUGAAAUGCGUAGAUAUUAGGAAGAACACCAGUGGCGAAGGCGGCUUACUGGACGGUAACUGACGUUGAGGCUCGAAAGCGUGGGGAGCAAACA